UACGAGGGGUGCAAGCGUUAUUCGGAAUAAUUGGGCGUAAAGGGUGCGUAGACGGCCUGUUAAGUCUGUUGUUAAAUUCUCCGGCUCAACCGGGGGGCUGCAAUGGAAACUGGCGGACUAGAGGGUGAGAGAGAGAAGUGGAAUUCCCGGAGUAGCGGUAAAAUGCGUAGAUCUCGGGAGGAACACCAGUGGCGAAGGCGGCGAUCUGGGAAGAUACUGACGCUGAGGUGCGAAAGCGUGGGGAGCAAACAGG
rnacentral:rRNA from 1 species